CGGCUCGCCCCGAACGGGCCUUGCACGCUCGCCUCCACGUGUGCAAGGGCACACGGCGCCCAGCAAGCCUUGCACGCUCGCCUCCGAGUGUGCGAGCUCACGCUUUGAACCGGGUGAGCUCGGCGCGCUCGGCUCUAAGCGUGCGAGCUUGCACUGUGCCCCGAAGCCUUGCACGCGCCUCGCACACACGACACCCAGCGAGCCUUGCACGCGCUGGAGCGGUGCACACUCAGCGCAUGAAGCUUGCACGCUCACCUCUCCUCGUGCCACCUCACACUUGGCAUGAUGGCUCGGUGGCUUUGCACGCUCACCAGCAGGUGUGCAAGCUCACGCUGCACCGCCGAGCUUUGCACGCGCAGCCCUGAAGCCUUGCACACUCACCUCCCGCUGUGCAAGUGCACACCAAGACCUAGUGCUUUGCACGCUCACCACCAAUGGUGCAAGCUUGCCCUGAGUCCUCAAGCUGUGCACACUCAGCCCUGCAGGUUUGCACAAGCAGCCCCAGCUCCUUGCACACUCAUCUACCAUUGCACAAACUCACAGUGUUGGAGGUGUUCACACUCCGUGCACAAAACUUGCACACUCACCUCCAGUUGUGCAAGCUCACACCGCACCUGGGGGCUUUGCACGCAAAGACCUAGAACCUUGCACGUUCACCUCUACUUGCACAAACUCCCGCUCUGCACUAAAGCUCGUCGGCUUUGCACGCUCACCAACAGUCGUGCAAGCUCACCCUUUGCCCGGGAGCCUUGCACAUGCACCCCUACAGCCUUACACACUCAUCUCCAGUCGUGCACGCUCACACGGCCUCAGAGCUGCGCACGCUCACUCACCUCCGCUCGUGCAAGCCGACACUUCCCCUCAGAGCCUCGCACCCUCGAGCCUUGCACGCUCACCAGCAGCUGUGCACGCUCCCGCUCAGCCCUGGAGCUUUGCACGCUCAUUGCACGCUCACGGCGCUCCCCUCAGGUCAGCGCACGCGCCUCCUCACACCUGUGCACCCUCAGUGCAAGCCCCGUGCACGCUCACUACCUGCCCGGCACGCUCAGCGCCAGCUGUGCAAGCUCCCUGCAAUCCCUGCACUCACCGUCACCCCGAGAGCCUUGCACGCUCACCGCCAGCCUUGCACGCUCACCGCCAGGUGUGCACGCUCCAUAGCAACCGUGCACGCUCAGC
rnacentral:lncRNA from 1 species